rnacentral:rRNA from 1 species
GUGACGAAGCGACGCCGCGUGCGGGAAGAAGGCCUUCGGGUUGUAAACCGCUGUCGGGAGUUAAGAAAUGCAGAGAUGUUAAUAGCGUCUUUGCUUGACUAAGGCUCCGGAGGAAGCCACGGCUAACUCUGUGCCAGCAGCCGCGGUAAUACAGAGGCGGCAAGCGUUGUUCGGAAUUAUUGGGCGUAAAGAGCACGUAGGCGGCUAUGUAAGUCGGUUGUGAAAGCCUUCCGCUCAACGGGAGAACAGCAUCCGAUACUGCAUGGCUUGAGUGUGGGAGGGGAGAGUGGAACUUCUGGUGGAGCGGUGAAAUGCGUAGAUAUCAGAAGGAACGCCGGCGGCGAAAGCGGCUCUCUGGCCCAUAACUGACGCUGAGUGUGCGAAAGCUAGGGGAGCAAACGGGAUUAGAUACCCCGGUAGUCCUAGCCGUAAACGAU